rnacentral:rRNA from 1 species
GACGAACGCUGGCGGCGUGCUUAACACAUGCAAGUCGAACGGAAAGGCCCUGCUUGCAGGGUACUCGAGUGGCGAACGGGUGAGUAACACGUGGGUGAUCUGCCCUGCACUUCGGGAUAAGCUUGGGAAACUGGGUCUAAUACCGGAUAGGAGCCAUCUUUAGUGUGGUGGUUGGAAAGUUUUUUCGGUGUAGGAUGAGCUCGCGGCCUAUCAGCUUGUUGGUGGGGUAAUGGCCUACCAAGGCGGCGACGGGUAGCCGGCCUGAGAGGGUGUACGGCCACAUUGGGACUGAGAGACGGGCCAGACUCCGACGGAAGGCAGCAGGGGGGAAUAUUGCACAAUGGGCGCAAGCCUGAUGCAGCGACGCCGCGUGGGGGAUGAAGGCCUUCGGGUUGUAAACUCCUUUCGCUAGGGACGAAGCGUUUUUGUGACGGUACCUAGAGAAGAAGCACCGGCUAACUACGUG